ACCAGCAACGCCGCGGGGAUGAUGAAGUAUCUCGGUACGUAAAAUCCUUUCGACAGGGGACGAAUCCGCAAGGUUGACGGUACCUGUAGAAGAAGCCCCGGCUAACUCCGUGCCAGCACCGCGGUAAU
rnacentral:rRNA from 1 species